rnacentral:rRNA from 1 species
UUUAUGGAGAGUUUGAUCCUGGCUCAGGAUGAACGCUGGCGGCGUGCCUAAUACAUGCAAGUCGAGCGAACGGACGAGAAGUUUGCUUCUCUGAUGUUAGCGGCGGACGGGUGAGUAACACGUGGAUAACCUACCUAUAAGACUGGGAUAACUUCGGGAAACCGGAGCUAAUACCGGAUAAUAUUUUGAACCGCAUGGUUCAAAAGUGAAAGACGGUCUUGCUGUCACUUAUAGAUGGAUCCGCGCUGCAUUAGCUAGUUGGUAAGGUAACGGCUUACCAAGGCAACGAUGCAUAGCCGACCUGAGAGGGUGAUCGGCCACACUGGAACUGAGACACGGUCCAGACUCCUACGGGAGGCAGCAGUAGGGAAUCUUCCGCAAUGGGCGAAAGCCUGACGGAGCAACGCCGCGUGAGUGAUGAAGGUCUUCGGAUCGUAAAACUCUGUUAUUAGGGAAGAACAUAUGUGUAAGUAACUGUGCACAUCUUGACGGUACCUAAUCAGAAAGCCACGGCUAACUACGUGCCAGCAGCCGCGGUAAUACGUAGGUGGCAAGCGUUAUCCGGAAUUAUUGGGCGUAAAGCGCGCGUAGGCGGUUUUUUAAGUCUGAUGUGAAAGCCCACGGCUCAACCGUGGAGGGUCAUUGGAAACUGGAAAACUUGAGUGCAGAAGAGGAAAGUGGAAUUCCAUGUGUAGCGGUGAAAUGCGCAGAGAUAUGGAGGAACACCAGUGGCGAAGGCGACUUUCUGGUCUGUAACUGACGCUGAUGUGCGAAAGCGUGGGGAUCAAACAGGAUUAGAUACCCUGGUAGUCCACGCCGUAAACGAUGAGUGCUAAGUGUUAGGGGGUUUCCGCCCCUUAGUGCUGCAGCUAACGCAUUAAGCACUCCGCCUGGGGAGUACGACCGCAAGGUUGAAACUCAAAGGAAUUGACGGGGACCCGCACAAGCGGUGGAGCAUGUGGUUUAAUUCGAAGCAACGCGAAGAACCUUACCAAAUCUUGACAUCCUU